UAUCUUGCCCUUGAACCAAGCAUGAUCAUGCAAGUGUGUGUGCUCCCGGUACACUAAUACUGCCAAACAAUCAAGCGGUUCAACUGUCAAAACCUCGCGCUUUUUUCGUCGCCAUAUUUUUUCACCAAGUCGAGUCGAGUGUCCUCAGUUCGGCAGUUCGAAGAUGGUUCUGGUGAUUCGGAUUUCGUUUGAUCCGGGAGAAUUUUUCACUUGUGCUUUUGCAUUGGAACUCGACGCCAUCUUUUCCAUUCGCAAUUGCAGUUUUCGUGCAGAAACGGGAUUCGGACGAAUAUCCAGCUGUAAUUCCGAUGGAAUAAUGGAGAUUUCUAGUGAAUGUCACGGAUCGGAUAUGCAGUAAUUAUUUAAAGAGAAACAAGGGACCGGUAGCUGAAUUGUCCGACUUAGGAACAACUUACCUCUUCGGGUAUGGUCGCUCAUACAAAUGGAUCGAAACGCGUCUCUUAUUCAUCGACGCCGCCAAGACCUUGAUACGUGAAGUGCAUUCAACGUUUUUUUACUCACGUCAAGGGCCCUCCGGGAAGUAUCGUCGCGUGAAUGGCGUGGUGGUGGCCGCGACAGAAUAAGAAUGUGUAGUAUAGCAGGAGCAUGCACAAAAAACAAAGACUUCCCAUCAGCCGUAAUGAUAUCGAAGAGUUCUGCAAACGUCCAUCUGAUCUAAAGCAGCCCAACGGAAUUUCCAUUCCAUGCGAUGAUUACUUCUACCGCCAGUUUAAGUCAAGUGCCCGACAAUCGAAUUUAUAGCGGAGAAACUUCUACCUAGACAACGGAUAUGGUUAUGAUUAAUAUUAUAUUAUUUAUUUACAUAUUUGCAUAUAGUCAUAAUGUUUUCAUGUACUAUAUAAGAAAUAAAACAUUUUUUCAUA